GGAGGGGGCGAGCGUUAUUCGGAUUUACUGGGCGUAAAGCGCACGUAGGCGGCUAGGUAUGUCAAAGGUGAAAGCCCUCGACUCAACCGAGGAACUGCCUUUGAAACUGCUUGGCUUGAGUCCGGGAGAGGGGAGCGGAAUUCCCAGUGUAGCGGUGAAAUGCGUAGAUACUGGGAGGAACACCGGUGGCGAAGGCGGCUCCCUGGACCGGCACUGACGCUGAGGUGCGAAAGCGUGAGUAGCAAACAGGAUUAGAUACCCUGGUAGUCCACGCCGUAAACGAUGGGCACUAGGUGCAGCGGGUGUCGACCCCCGUGCUGUGCCGAAGCUAACGCAUUAAGUGCCCCGCCGGGGGGUAGUACGGUCGCAGGCUG
rnacentral:rRNA from 1 species